UGACCGUGCGAAGGUAGCGUAAUCAUUUGUCUUUUAAAUAGAGACCUGUAUGAAUGGCAUAACGAGGGUUUAACUGUCUCCUUCCCCUAGUCAAUGAAAUUGAUCUGCCCGUGCAGAAGCGGACAUAAACACAUAAGACGAGAAGACCCUAUGGAGCUUUAGACAAAAGAUCAAACAUGUAAAGAAACCAAGUUAACCAAAAGGAACACAAAGGCCACGAAACCCGACGUAAACUGAUCCAAAUGUCUUCGGUUGGGGCGACCAUGGGGGAGAAAAAAGCCCCCACGAGGAACAGGGACUAAUCCCUAAGCCAAGAGAGACAUCUCUAAGCAACAGAAAAUCUGACCAAAAGUGACCCAGAAUACUAAUUCUGAUCAACGAACCAAGUUACCCUAGGGAUAACAGCGCAAUCCUUUCCCAGAGUCCAUAUCGACGAAAGGGUUUACGACCUCGAUGUUGGAUCAGGACAUCCUAAUGGUGCAGCCGCUAUUAAGG
rnacentral:rRNA from 1 species